CCGGAUCCUUAACCCACUGAGUGAGGCCAGGGAUCGAACCCGCAACCUCAUGUUUCCUAGUCGGAUUUGUUAACUACUGAACCACAAUGGGAACUCCCUUUUUUGCAUUCUUGCCAGCGGCGUAUUAGAGUUCCAUUUCCUCCACAUCUUGGUGAAUACUUGGUCAAUCAUUCUCUUUUUGAGGGGGUAGGGGUGUGCACCUGCAACAUGUGGAAGUUCCCAGCUAGGGGUUGAAUUGGAGCUGCAGCCACCAGCCUACACCACAGCCACAGCAACGCGGGAUCUGAGCUCCAUCUGUGACCUACACCACAGCUCAUGUUAUCCCACUGAGAGGGCCAGGGAAUGAACCCGCAUCCUCGGGGUAUUAGUUGAGUUCAUUAACUGCUGAGCCAUGAUGGGAACUCCCAUUCUUAGUUUUAACUCUUUGUAAAGUUGUUGUAUUAUCUCACCAUUGUUUUAAUUGCAUUUCCCUAAGGAUUCACAAUGAACAUUUUUUCAGAUUAGUAUUUGCUGUCUCUAUUUCUUUAGUGAAAUACUCAUAUUUUCUGCAUAUUCUGUGCACUUUCACUAUUUUUUUCCUUUAACGAAAGAACAGUGAAACAACAAAGUUGUAUUGGAAUUUCACUCAUUUUAUGACUUUUUACUUAAUGAAAUAAUUGUUUUUAAUACUAGAAUAGUAUGUUCUAAUUUAAAAUUUUUUCUAUGCAAUGCACAGCAUAAUGGGCACAUAUGCCAUAACUUUUAAUUUUAAUCUGCAUUAUUAACAUACUCUCCAUCACUUUCUGAAGUCCAGAUAUUUAAUAAUUCUGCAAGCCCUUGCUUUGUAGUGUUUACCCAGUUUCCUGGCCUGUCAUCAUGGGGGUUGGUGGGUUGAAGCAGAACUCUGAGGAGGACCAGAUGGCAUCAGAAUGGACAGGGUGUUUUUUGAGUCCCUAAGCUCACCAGGGCUGGAAAUUGGGCAGUAAUCAGACUCCCCAAGUCCUGAGUCAGGGAGCCUGGGUUUGAAUCCCAACCUCAAAAUAUUGCUGUGACUCACAGGCAAAUGACCCCCCUCAGUUUCCCCCUGUGUAAAACAGGUAUAAGGUGUGGCUCUACCACUGAGCUGUGGCAGGUGAAGUCCUGAAGUGCUCACUUGCUGUGCCAUGGCUAGGCAUGCAACCUCCCUGGGCCUAGGCAACUCUAAUCUCUGCCUGUGGUGACAUUCCUGGACCAGGCACCCCUCAUUUUUCCCCACUGACCCACCCACCAGCAAGGAGGAAGAGGCUAAGGGCACUGAUAUCUAAGUGUGGGUUCACCUACAUGGAGGUGAUGGAGGCGCUUGCCUUGGUCCCUGCGAGGAUCAAGGUAACAAGACAUGGAGGGCUUAAUGGUGCCUGGAUUCCAGGGUCUGCUUUAUAAGCAUACUCUUAAAUUCUCAGAGCAGACUGAGGAAGUGAGCACCGUGGCACUGCUGGGGAAAUCUAGGGUCAGAAUGAUGAAGGGUGACGUGGUGGACACGUAUCUAAAGCAAGAUGCCGGAUUCACACCCCUGUCACUCGCUCUAGAGCUGGGAGGUGAAUCCCUUUACCUUAGCACAUGAAGCCCUCAUCCCAGGGCAGGCACACAGCAAGUUCCAGGCAGUUUCAGCUGCUGCUACUUUUACGGUUGUUGGAAUUAUCAGUAUUUCCCCCGCUUACCAUCUGCUCUCACAGGAUUGCCUUUGUCAUCUCCACUGGCUUCCCCCAUAGGAGGCUGUUUUUCUCACUUGCAGUAGCAUUCUGUCCAAAGAGCACAGCCCCUCUGAGCACAGCACCAGAAUUGGUCAUUCAGGACUGGGUCUCUGCAGCUUCCUCAGCAACUGAGUGACAGGCUUGAAACCCAGCCAACAACCCGAAUAUGAAGUUUGACUUGUGUGUGACCUUCACCCUAGAGGAGUAGACAUCCCAGCCCAAAGGACCCGAUAGCAUGGUGUGGUCAUGGAGACCUAGCUCCCGGUCUCCCUGGCCAAGGGCUCACCUCUGCUCCAUUCACAGACCUGCUGCCUGUUUGAUGCUGUCCUCUCUGCCCAAGACUGGCCGAUGGAGAAGACCGCUGGCACGCGCCAUCCUCCCUGCAGCCCUCACCAUCUUCUGUACCCACAUCCACAUUUCCCCUCCUUGUGUCUGCACCACGGAGCUUUGAUCCUCCAGGUGGAUCUUGGUGUGCCUCCUGGAAACAGGAACUACACAACCCAGAAUGCCUUACGUCAGCGGAAAAACGGUUCCGUUCGGGCCCAAAGGGUCGGGCGGUACUUCCUGUUCCGCCGCCAAGCUGCGUUGUUAACCAGUCUGGGUCUGGUCCGCUUCCGAGCCGCUGCCUUGGGGCUGAGUUGACCGGACAGGGACGGUCCGGAAGGAGCCACUGACCCCGCGGCAGAGGCGGGCCUGAGGCUCGGCGACGCCGCCCGCGUGCCCCGGACCAGGCCCGGGAUAGAGACCGCCGUGCCCGCGCCCCUCCUCGCCCGCUGCUCCCGGCCCCGCUCCGCCCGCAGAGCCCGAUGGCGGCGGCCGCGCUGAGGGACUCGCCUCAGGGCACUAUGACUUUUGAAGACGUGGCCGUGAACUUUUCCUGGGAGGAAUGGGGUCUCCUUGAUGAGGCUCAGAGACGCCUGUACCAUGAUGUGAUGCUGGAGAACUUGGCACUUAUAACCUCCCUGGGUUGUUGGUGUGGAGCAGAGGAUGAGGAAGGACUUUCUGAGCGGAGUAUUUCUGUUCAAGGAGGGUCACAGAUCAGGACUGUUAAGGCAGCUUUGUCUACCCAGAAGGCCAACCCCUAUGAGAUUUGUGGCCCAGUCUUGAGUGACACUUUUCACUUGGCUGAGUACAAGGGAACACAUCGUGGGCAGAAACUACUCAUGUGUGGGGCAUGUGAGAAACCACUCUAUUUCAGAGCACACUGCCAUCAGGAUCAAAAGCAGCACAUUGGAGAGAAACCAUUAAGAAGUGAUGUGAGGAGAGCCUUGUUUGUGAACAGUUCCAAAUUCCAUGUAUCAGGAAAGCCCUUUUCCUUUGGGGGUGUUGGGAAGGACUUACUGGGCAACUCAGAAUUUCUUCACCAACAGGCCCCACCCACCUGGGAGAAGUCAAAUUGUGGAACCAAGAGUGAGGCCACCUUUCCAAGGGAAAACAAUCAUUAUAAAUGGGGAGACAGCACAAAAACUUUGAGCUGCAAACACACACUUGUUCAGCACCAGAGAGUCCUCACUAGAGGAGGAUGUUACAUGUGCAGCGAAUGUGGGAAAUCAUUUAGCAAAAGCUCCCACCUCAUUAGACAUCAGAGUGUUCACACUGGAGAAAAGCCUUAUGAGUGCAGUGAAUGUGGGAAAUCUUUUAGUCAAAGUUCAAACCUCAUUCAGCAUCAUAGAAUUCACACUGGAGAAAGGCCUUAUGAGUGCAGUGAAUGUGGGAAAGCCUUUAUCCAAAGAUCACAUCUCAUUCAACAUUGGAAAGUUCAUACUAGAGAAAGGUCUUUUGAAUGUAAAGAGUGUGGGAAAUCUUUUACCAAGAGCUGCAGCCUCAUUCACCAUCAGAGUGUUCAUACUGGGAAAAAGCCUUAUGAAUGUAGUGAAUGUGGGAAGUCAUUUUCCCAAAACUCUGUGCUCCUUCGGCAUCAGAGGGUUCACACUGGAGAAAGUCCUUUUGUGUGCAGUGAAUGUAGGAAGUCUUUUCGCCAAAGCUCUGCACUCCUUCAGCAUCGGAGAGUUCACACUGGAGAAAGGCCCUAUGAAUGUGGUGAAUGUGGGAAAUCCUUUAGAUAUAUCUCAAAUCUCAUUACCCAUCGGAGAGUUCACACCGGAGAAAGGCCUUAUGAAUGUAAGGAAUGUCGAAAAUCCUUUAAGAAAAGCUCUUCACUACAUCAACACCAGAGAGUUCACACUGGAAAAAGACCUUAUGAAUGCAGCAAAUGUGGGAAAUCAUUUCGCCAAAAUGUUGUGCUUCUUCAACAUCAGAGAGUUCAUACUGGAGAAAGGCCUUACCAGUGUGGUGAAUGUGAGAAAUCAUUUAGAUAUAUCUCCAACCUGACGACUCAUCGGAGAGUUCACACUGGGGAAAAGCCUCAUGAGUGUAAUGAGUGUGGAAAAUUCUUCAGUCAAAGCUCUAACCUCAUCACACAUCAGAGGAUUCACACUGGGAAAAGACCUUAAAAUUAGGGAGAUAUACUGAACUCUUUAUCUACAGGUUUAGUCUCUUAAAACACCAGACUAUUUACUGCAUCAAGGCCUUAGGUGAUGAAUGCAUUAAGGCCAUUAGCCCAGUGUCUUUACUAUUUGGAUACCACACAUUUCGAAAGGAAGAAACAACGUGCAUGUGCAGGAAGGUACAAUUUCCUUUUUCAGUAUGUCAACACCUGAUGGUACAUCUGAAUUGAACCUCAAAUAUCCAGACAUCCGCAAACAUCCCAGGUGUGUGAGAACUGCAUUUUACUCUUUCUCCUGUGCAGGCCUCUUGCCAGAUUUCUGUUACUGACACUUUAUGUGUUCAAAACCAUUUCACCUCCACCACCUGACAGGUACUCACAGGGUACAGCAUUCACUACCCUGGUGUGUUUAUGGAAGGAAACCUUGGUUUUUCCACUCACAUGAGGGAUCCAUGAGAAGCCUGAGCACUCAUGCCUGUCUCAUUUCAUUGAUGAGUUAAGUCAUCAACCUGAUACUUUUGGCUCAGAGGACUCUGCUUGUGACUUGCAAACUUGGACUGCCUUUUUUCAGGGAUAGCGUUGGCUCAGUGACUCCUGUGAUGGAAUUUUUCAUCCAUCAAGUUAUGAGUCCAGGAGCAGUCUGCCUCCCAUUGUUCUGGGUUGUGCAAUAAUAAAGGCCUUAUUAUACUUCCUGCAUUCCUCUUUGGUUGGCAUUACAUGUGUCGUAAGUGGGAUGAAGUGACCUUCAAACCAACUCUCAUGCUGCCUUGGAUUUGAGUCAGGUGCCUACAGGAGGAACCCGUUGUGUUCUACCAUCUCCUUGCUGAUCCCAGAUCGUGGUGUUUUGUGAAUCAGAAUGUUUUUCUCAAGAACGUGGAACCCAUCUGUCCAAACUGCAGACAAAGGAGGGUCAGCUGGUGUGAGGACAGGAGUCUCAUCUUAGCAGACGCCUUGCUCCAACUACAAAGCUCCCUCUUGAAAGGUGAGAAGUUGAUUCUUCCUCUGGAUAAAACCAGUUAGCUAACAGGUCACCCCAAUUAGCCGGUAAAAUUAGGACUCUGUGACAAAUGGUUCUGUCAGCUCCUCUUACAUGAGGACCAGUUACUGUUUUUCUCGAAUAUACGUAUGCAGAGCUCUCUUGCAGCUCAGCAAUCAUGAGCCUGACUAGUAUCAAUGAGGUUUCAAGUUCAAUCCCUGGCCCUGCUCAGUGGGUUAAGGAUCCGGUAUUGCCAUGAGCUAUGGUGUAGGUCGCAGACGCAGCUGGGAUCUCGCGUUGCUGUGGCUCUGGUGUAGGCUGGCGGCUACAGCUUCAAUUCGACCCCUAGCCUGGGAACUUCCAUAUACUGCAGGUGUGGCCCAAAAAAGGGAAAAAAUGUAUUCAGUGGGAUAUAUCUGCUUGGACAUAUGCAGAGUUUUUUGCUGCCUUUGCAAUUUCCUGGUAGAUCACUUGUGAUGCACAUCUAUUUUGCUUUAAUGCUUAUCAACAAGAAAAGCAGUUUUCUGUCUCUGCUAUCUUUGUGGAAAGAAUUUCUAGGUUGGGAGUUGCCAUCGUGGCACAGUGGUGAACGAAUCCGACUAGGAACCAUGAGGUUGCGGGUUCGAUCCCUGGCCUCGCUCAAUGGGUUAAGGAUCCAGUGUUCCUGUGAGCUGUGGUGUAGGUUGUAGACUCGGCUCGCAUCCCACAUUGCUGUGGCUCUGGCGCCAGCGGCUGUAGUUCCAAUUAGACCCCUAGCCUGGGAACCUCUAUAUGCCGAGGGAGUGGCCCUAGAAAAGGCUAAAAGACAAAAAAAAAAAAAAAAAAAAAUUUCUAGGUUGGGAGAAAUUUUUGUUUUUACUUCCCUAACAGUCAUCAUCAAACACCUGUCUUAAGGGAUCAAAUCUUGUCACCCAUCUCAUCAACAUCUAGUGGACAAGAAUUACAGAGGAAGGGUGAUCAGUUAAACAGUAUCAGAGACUCAAAAAGCCAUAUCUAGAAUGUAGAAAAUUCUGAUGAAUAAAUGACAGCAAAUUAUAAGAACUAAGAAUUUUAAAAGAUAAGUGGACCUCAUAUGUAAAGAGACCUGUGAGACACAGCUAAUGAAAGACGUAAGAAUACAUUUUGGACUCUGACUUCAACUAAUCUGACUUAAGCAAAUUCAUUUUUGAAACAAUUGAGCAUUAAUAAAAUGUAUUUUUAUAACUUUUGGGGUUAUGAAGGAUUACCUUACAUUUAAAAAAUGUAUUCUGGAGUUCCCAUUGUGGUUCAGUGAUAAUGAACCCAAUCAGUAUCCAUAAGAACGCAGGUUUGACCCCUGGUAUCGAUCAAUGGGUUAAUGAUCUGGCCUGUGGUUAUGGUGUAGGCAGGCAGCUGCAGCUCCAGUUGGACCCCUAGCCUGGGUACAUCCAGAUGUCUCAGGUGCAGCCCUAAAAAUAAAAAAGUAAUAAAAUCUAUUCUGAAGAGGUUAUGCAUUAAAUGAUAACAUGCUUGGAAUUAUAGGUGCAGUUGUCACCCCUUAUCUGCAGCAAAAAUCUUCGAAAAAUGUGCAGUAAACCAUUCGAAGAUCCCCAAGUAGAUGCCAGAAACCAUGGAUCAUACUAAACCUUAUAUAUACUAUGUUUUUUUCCUAUGCAUACAUACCUGUGAUUAAGUUUAAUGUAUAAAGUAAGCGUAGUAAGAGAUUAACCAAUAAUAAAACAGAACAGUUGACUGCAAUAAAAGUGAAUGUGUUCUCGCUCAGUA